AGAGUUUGAUCCUGGCUCAGGACGAACGCUGGCGGCGCGCCUAACACAUGCAAGUCGAACGGAGUUGUGUUGAAAGCUUGCUGGAUAUACAACUUAGUGGCGGACGGGUGAGUAACACGUGAGUAACCUGCCUCUCAGAGUGGAAUAACGUUUGGAAACGAACGCUAAUACCGCAUAACGUGAGAAGAGGGCAUCCUCUUUUUACCAAAGAUUUAUCGCUGAGAGAUGGGCUCGCGGCCGAUUAGGUAGUUGGUGAGAUAACAGCCCACCAAGCCGACGAUCGGUAGCCGGACUGAGAGGUUGAUCGGCCACAUUGGGACUGAGACACGGCCCAGACUCCUACGGGAGGCAGCAGUGGGGGAUAUUGCACAAUGGGGGAAACCCUGAUGCAGCGACGCCGCGUGAGGGAAGACGGUUUUCGGAUUGUAAACCUCUGUCUUUAGGGACGAAAAAAAUGACGGUACCUAAGGAGGAAGCCACGGCUAACUACGUGCCAGCAGCCGCGGUAAUACGUAGGUGGCAAGCGUUGUCCGGAAUUACUGGGUGUAAAGGGAGCGUAGGCGGGGAGACAAGUUGAAUGUCUAAACUAUCGGCUUAACUGAUAGUCGCGUUCAAAACUAUCACUCUUGAGUGCAGUAGAGGUAGGCGGAAUUCCUAGUGUAGCGGUGAAAUGCGUAGAUAUUAGGAGGAACACCAGUGGCGAAGGCGGCCUACUGGGCUGUAACUGACGCUGAGGCUCGAAAGCGUGGGUAGCAAACAGGAUUAGAUACCCUGGUAGUCCACGCCGUAAACGAUGAUUACUAGGUGUGGGGGGACUGACCCCUUCCGUGCCGGAGUUAACACAAUAAGUAAUCCACCUGGGGAGUACGACCGCAAGGUUGAAACUCAAAGGAAUUGACGGGGGCCCGCACAAGCAGUGGAGUAUGUGGUUUAAUUCGA
rnacentral:rRNA from 1 species